UACGUAGGGGGCAAGCGUUGUCCGGAUUUAUUGGGCGUAAAGAGCGUGUAGGCGGCCAUGCAGGUCAGCUGUGAAAACUCGAGGCUCAACCUCGAGACGUCGGUUGAAACCGCUUGGCUAGAGUCCGGAAGAGGAGAGUGGAAUUCCCGGUGUAGCGGUGAAAUUCGUAGAUACUUCGCAAGAACACCAGUGGCGAAGGCGGCUCACUGGCCCGGUACUGACGCUGAGGUGCGAAAGCGUGGGGAGCAAACAGG
rnacentral:rRNA from 1 species